CCAAUAGCGUAUAUUAAAGUUGUUGCAGUUAAAAAGCUCGUAGUUGAAUUUCGGGAUCAAUGGGUUGGUCAUGCCCUCGGUAUGUACUGAUUUCAUUGGUUCUCACCUUCUAAGGAACCAUGAUGUCAUUUAUUUGAUGUUGUGGGAAAUUAGGACUGUUACCUUGAAAAAAUUAGAGUGUUUAAAGCAGGCUAACGCUUGAAUACAUUAGCAUGGAAUAAUGAAAUAGGACAUCCGAUUCUAUUUUGUUGGUUUCUAGGAUCGAUGUAAUGAUUAAUAGGGAGAGUUUGGGGCAUUAGUAUUCAAUUGUCAGAGGUGAAAUUCUUGGAUUUAUUGAAGACUAACUACUGCGAAAGCAUUUGCCAAGGAUGUUUUCAUUAAUCAAGAACGAAAGUUAGGGGAUCGAAGACGAUCAGAUACCGUCGUAGUCUUAACCAUAAACUAUGCCGACUAGGGAUCGGAUGAUGCUUAUUUUUUAAUGACUCAUUCGGCACCUUACG
rnacentral:rRNA from 1 species